AAGUUGGCAGCCCUGCCCCUGCCAGAGACAAACAUGUGUAAUAAAUUGCCUGUCCGUUGCUGAAUUGAAACUGCCAAUCCAAUUAGUUGGGACUGUGCAAACAAGAGGCUGCAGCCCGAGCUGCCCAGCUAUCCGGGUACCCAGCUACCCAUCGCUACCCGGGUACCCAGCUCCACUCGCAUGUGGCUGCCGGGCAAUAAAAAUGGACACACAGCAGAAACAACAUGGCGCUGGCAGAAGGCAACGGUCCGGGACACCGGCACAGAAGCACUCGCCAAUGUACGGGCAACCUGAUGCCGGCGCCUUCCCCCCUCCCACGCCUCAGGCCUCACCGGACACUGGACUAGGAAUAACAGCAUUUAUUCUUCCUUCUGGUUGUACUCUUUGUGUCUUAACUAUUUAUGAGGUCGAGUUGUUUGUGCAGUUUGAUUAUUUUGCUGGCAGGGCGGUAGGCGGAGCACCGGCGACCUGUGCCUCUUCAUAAUUCAACGGUCGGGCUGACAAUCCGGCCAGACGGAGUGCACACACAUUCAGAGGAACGGCGCGCUCAAGUGAGAUCGCAGUGAGCGCCCACGCAACGAGUUUUGUGCAGCGUGUAGGGGAUCACUCGAUGGGCUGUACACACGUACCACAGCUGAUUUGUUAUGGUUUUAAAAAGAACUUAAUGAAAAUCAAAGUAAAGGCCGAUCGGCCCUGUGCCCUGCGGGCCCUAUAUACCCUACAGACUCGCUACAGACUGUGCUUGGGAUCCGCUCGCUACUUUGGCCUAGAAUGGCUGGAGCAUUUCUUGUCGAUUCACAGUCAACGUUCAACGCACUGCAACAUGCAGCAGCCACCAUGAGUUGUAUUGCAUAGCUAAUCACAUCACUUACAGUUCCACACAUUAUAUUAGUGAAUGCUUUGUGUGAAUGUGUCUGACGUCUGCCUAAGUCUGAUGAACGUGAUUAUAUAGUGGAAAGAAUUAUUUGGCCCAGCCAUCUUAUGUGCAUAUUUACGUACACACUUAUAUAGGGAAUUCUUUACACUUUUGAAGGCUCUACGGAGAGAUGCAACUCAUAUACACACAUAUCUGCGACCUUUCCAGUCGCCUUCUCGUGCAGCUGCUAUCCACUACCUGCUCUGGGUAGGGGCCUUCCAAAGCUACAGGCAAACAAUUGCUGCAUUCCAGAAGUCACCGCUAAAACGCCGCAACGCUACAGGACCUGAGCGCUCCCAGUCGUUGCUUCGCUUCUACAAGCAGCACCAACGGCGACGCUACAUCUUGGAACACUUUCAGCGUUCCCUUCCAUUCGGUAUAGUACACUCCUUCACGGCUCUCAAUACACAUAUAUGGUAUGUUAUACUCGUAUCUUAAUGGAAAGGCGUACUUACAUAUUUGAUAGGUAUCAGUAUGUUUCUGAUGUGUACACUUUAUAACAACUCUCAUGUGUUCCAGGUUCCACGUGAAAAUCCCUACCCAGUUUAAUCAGCUGCUAGGCACUGCAUAUUAAUAUUAAUGAGUUAUAUUGACGAAACAAUUCAGAAGUGACUGAUUUCUCAUCCGUGGGGCUGCCUUGACAGCGAUCUUAGUGAGAAUUGUUGACUUCUAGCGACUCAGCGACUUCUACUCUGAGCGCUUCUCGUCGGUGCGUUACGCACCUGGUGGUCUCGCUACAUAUGUUGGUCUUCUCGACGGUCCAAUUAAAAAACGGCAGGAGCACAACUACGAACUACGUAUGAACAUGGAAACGGCUAUUAGUUCGUUCAGCUUCGUAGGAUAUGAUAAGGAACUUCUCAGGGUUGCGCUCCCAAAUACAUUGGAACCAAACACACACAUCGUUUCACCAUCCAUAUUUAAAGCUCUACGGAUGGAACAACUCAGAGGGGAUAAAUGCACGUAUCAGCUACCAGUCUUCCAGCUAUAUAUGCUGUUAGUCUGUAACCGCUCCAUAAAGGGUCUGGCAUACCCAACAGACUUCGGAUCCUCUCGUUACGUAGACUACUGACUCGCUAUGCCGGUUAGCUGCACAGGCCAGGGGGGUAUCCUUUAAGCAUCAAGAGAAACGUGAGGCUACAGGAAUCUUCGCAUAGAUCGCAUACAGUCCAUCUGUAUCGAUGCCCCUUUCCUAGCUAUAGGCGAUCUCUGCAAUCUCUGAAUUGCUCAAUCUAAACGAAAUUUCCGAACACGAAAUAAACGAAUAACCGAUUCCGGCUCCACCCAGAGGACAUAGCAAUUAGCAUCGGCCUCCAGGAACUGCUUCUGCUCAGCGAGAUCCGAUUGUAGGUUCUUCUUCUAUCUCCUCUGCCUCUUCUUGGUACGUGUGCACUUUAAUAUGAGUACUAUACAUAGUCACAUGUAUAUCGAAUUCGAUUUCAAGCUGCAUUCCUGCAUCAAUUAAAUAUUGCUUACUGCAUUUGUGUAGCGAGAAUGGAAAGAGAUGAAACCAAACAUAAAACGAAAUUGAUUUUUGUAUUUGUAUAAACUGGAAUUGUUUUUAACGAAAUUCAAUCCAAUUUGAUGCAGCCAGAAUCUGGCCUUUUAUAUAUGUACAUAAUAUGCAAAAAUCACAAUAAUAAAAUAACACCAAAAGCGAGAGAGAGGGAGAGAGAGAUAGAGAAGGAGAGUUGGGAAGAGUAAUGAAAUAAUAAUCGAGACAAAAACCGCAGACCAACGUCAAAGAGGGAAAGGACGAGUGGGAGGUACUGCCGCUGUUGUAGUCAUUUCUGCUGCACAAGCAUUUUAUUGUGGAAAUGGAAGAAGCAGUUGCUUGCUCUCCCCAAAGCCCUCGCUCUCGCCCUUGCCCUCGCUCUCGCUCUCGCCCUCUUCCACUCUGUCCGUUAACAGUUAGCUGCAGGAUGACGAGACGGAAGAGCAAGAUGAAGCGUUGCCAGCUUUAAUUAAAAACAUACCUUGCAAAAUGUUUUAGCUGUUUUGCCUAGCAGCAGCAGUGCAGGCAAAUGUUUUCCGAACCCGACCAGAUCCCAGCAGCUCAACCAAUCUGACCGAGCUGCCAUUCAAUGGCAUGCAGCAGCUGUGGUGCCAUCAAAACUUUUGAUGCCACGACUCACUCCAUUCGGCGGGGCUGACUCCGGACUGACGACUCCUGACUCCUGACUCCCCAUGCAUUUGAUUGCAGAGCUGGCGGAUGAGACAGGCAUCGAUAUCCCGUGAAAACUUCAAUUGACAGCCUACGGCAGGCGGAGUGGGGAAUGGGAAUGGGAAUACGAAAACGAAUACGAAUGGCAUGGGAUGUGACAGGAUGGGAUGGUGGCUGUUGUGUCGCACAGUUUCCAUGUAUACGUACAAUAUUUUUGCCCGCUCUCAAAAUAUUGCAUUGGAAUGAAGCACCCAAUGGGUCCCCCAGGAGCUGUCAUUUCAACCGAACGGACGGCUGGCCUCUGGAGUGCUAUUUUUACCGUCGCAAAUGAUACUCAAGACGAAGGAUUUUUUAAUGAUGUUACUUCCCGGAGAGCUCUCAAAUCAUUUGAAUACAAAUUGUUCGCCCUCUCUCCGACGAUUGCAGGAUUUUCUUUGGAAUUCAUGAAUUCUUUAUCUCCUUCUUCGUGCUUUUCCAGCUGGCAAGCUAUGAAAGUGAAAUGCGAGACAUGUUCCCCGAGGCUGAAGGACAGGUGGAUGCAUGGAGUUGGUAGUGGAGGGGCCUCCAUUGUCACUGAACCCAAAAGUUCUGCCAGCCAUGCGGAAUACACUAUGCAACAGGGUUUUUAUCUAGUCUUGUGCAAUGGCUUGUAUACUUCAUGAAUUGUUUCACCUCCGAAAUGUACAAAAGUCUCAGGGUACUCUAAAGACCCUGCAAAGUACGCUGAGUAUUGCUUGCAAGCUACCCCUUCAUCACAAAGACUUGCCAAUGAAGUAAUUUUCGUUGAAUUUUCGACAUUAAACGGUCCCACUGGGCAUUCUCUGACGUCUCCAGCAGUCACCUAAGUUAAACACAUUAUACCACCACAAAGUAUUGUGCACUGAAAGGAAAAUGGCAUAGUAAAAAGAAACACUGUCAGAUUUAAGUUAAAUAUUCGGGCUUCACUUUGAUUCAAAUAUACAUCUAUUAAAAAGUCUUUAAUAUGGCCCAUGUUUAAUCUAAAUGUAAAACCUCAGUGGAACUAUUCGGGGCUCUGGCCUUUUUCCUCUGGGUAUACCUUUCUCAUCUAGAAAUGAUCAUAAUAAUUGAAGCCAUCGUUUUUUAUUUGAAAAUUUAUAAGUCGCUUCUUUUCAGGUUUCAGACGUUGAAUAGUUCGAGCGGAAUACGUUGCUGCACCUCAGGUGCUUCUUAACAUGAUUUGUUAGGCCCAUCCUGGGACUCGUUUUUUUUACAACACAAUCUUUCCAUACCCCACUGCCAAGAUUGGUACCAAAAAAUAAUAAUUAAUUACUAAUUUAAAAUAAAUUCUGAAUUAUAUUGGAAUCAAGUUAGCUUAUAAGGAAUCAUUUAGAUGUGGCUGUAAGGAGUCGAUUUUCUAUUUAAAAUUUAUUUUUUUCUGCCGGAAAAGCCUUACAGCGUGUGGUUUUAAAAAUAAUUUGUUUCUUAGUACAUGAAUAUGACACAAAAACAAUAUUCAUAUAAAAAGCCGCAAUAAUAAUAUAUCUUUU